rnacentral:rRNA from 1 species
AUGGGGAACUGCUUGAAGCUGCAGCGCGCCUCCGAGUCGUGGGUCGACGACGACGAGUGGGAGGUGGACACGGCGGCCGGCGAGAACGAGAAGACGGAGCGGGUGGAGGUGAAGAUCAGGGUGACCAAGAGGCAGGUCCAGGAGCUGCUGCAGCAGGCUGCCCUGGACGGCAAGGGGAAGAGGGCGACGGAAAAGGUGCUGACGGAUCUGAUCAACUCCGGCACGGUGUGCUACCACGACGAUCACGAGACGAGGGGGCACUGGAGGCCGUCGCUGCAGAGCAUCACCGAAGCCGAAGAGCCUUGA